GUACUCGCUUCGGCGGUACAUGUACUAAAAUUGUUACGAUACUGAGUUGAUUAGCGUGGCCCCUGCGCAAGGAUGACACGGAAAAUCGUGAAGCGUUAGCCGCAAGU